rnacentral:rRNA from 1 species
UACGUAGGGUGCAAGCGUUAAUCGGAAUUACUGGGCGUAAAGCGUGCGCAGGCGGUGAUGUAAGACAGUUGUGAAAUCCCCGGGCUCAACCUGGGAAUUGCAUCUGUGACUGCAUCGCUAGAGUACGGUAGAGGGGGAUGGAAUUCCGCGUGUAGCAGUGAAAUGCGUAGAGAUGUGGAGGAACACCGAUGGCGAAGGCAGCCCCCUGGGCCGAUACUGACGCUCAGGCACGAAAGCGUGGGGAGCAAACAGG